rnacentral:rRNA from 1 species
AACGAACGCUGGCGGCAUGCCUAACACAUGCAAGUCGAACGCCCUCUUCGGAGGGAGUGGCGCACGGGUGCGUAACGCGUGGGAACCUGCCCUUAGGUUCGGAAUAACUCAGAGAAAUUUGAGCUAAUACCGGAUAAUGUCUUCGGACCAAAAGAUUUAUCGCCUUUGGAUGGGCCCGCGUUGGAUUAGCUAGUUGGUGGGUAAAGGCCUACCAAGGCGACGAUCCAUAGCUGGUCUGAGAGGAUGAUCAGCCACACUGGGACUGAGACACGGCCCAGACUCCUACGGGAGGCAGCAGUGGGAAUAUUGGACAAUGGGCGAAAGCCUGAUCCAGCAAUGCCGCGUGAGUGAUGAAGGCCUUAGGG